AGGGUUGUGGCUCAGUGGUAGAGCAUGUACCUUGCAUGUGUGAGAUACUAGGUUCGAUCCUUAGCACCACAU
rfam:Ictidomys tridecemlineatus contig111597, whole genome shotgun sequence.